rnacentral:rRNA from 1 species
UACGAAGGGGGCUAGCGUUGCUCGGAAUCACUGGGCGUAAAGCGCACGUAGGCGGAUUGUUAAGUCAGGGGUGAAAUCCCGGGGCUCAACCUCGGAACUGCCUUUGAUACUGCAAAUCUCGAGUCCGGAAGAGGUGAGUGGAAUUCCUAGUGUAGAGGUGAAAUUCGUAGAUAUUAGGAAGAACACCAGUGGCGAAGGCGGCUCACUGGUCCGGUACUGACGCUGAGGUGCGAAAGCGUGGGGAGCAAACAGG